rnacentral:snoRNA from 1 species
UGCACAUCCUUAGACAGGUGCAAAAAAAUCCUCUUUUGUAAUCCAGAACUCAUUGUUCAGUUUGAGCUUUGAUACAUAUAAGAAGGAAUAUU